UUAGAAGUCCACGACAUUCCAUCCAAUACUAUUUUAAUAUCCACUUCAUAGAAGAAUCGAAAUAAGUAUCUUUUUUUCCCUAAAUCUGUGAUUAUAACUCCUCCUAACGGAUGCCAUAAGUCCGCGAUAGUUCUCUUAAGAGACGGAAAGUGAAUUACGCAAUCUAUAAGAGCUCUCCCCACUAAACAAAACCGACGAUCUUCAUCAUCAUUAAUUGGCUCUCUUUCACAGGGAAUCGACUCUUCUUCUUCAUCCUCCAAACUCAGAUUAGCGAUGUUUGCCUCCAUCUCUGGUAAGCUUUUUUGUAGGUAAACCCUAGCAGAUGAAAGACUUUUUAAACUUCAAGAGUAAUUGAGAGUUAAAUUUCUUAAUAUUAAGUUAACAUUUAUAUAUUUUAUAAAUUUAAAUAAAGAUAAUUUAUUUAUUAUUAUAAUAUUGAUGGAGAGAGCUUGAAUUUGAACGAAUCUACCAAAACUAGAUGGGCAGCUUAAUUCUAUUUAGAUAGUAUUGUGCAUAAAUCUGACAAUUUAUAUAUUUAUAUUAUAUUUAAAUAUUUAAAUAUAGUUAAUAUUUACAUAGCUUGAUAAUAUAUAAAAUUUGAAAUAUUUAUGCAUAUUUAAAAAAAUAUUUUUAAGUAAAUAAAAUAUCGUCGUAUGAUGUAAUAUGUAUAUAUUGAUUUGGUAAUCAUUAAUUUUCAUUAUACAAUUUAGCUUUUCGUCCUUAAAUAUAUUUAGAUCUAUCCAUAAAGUUGUUACCCUUUAUGCUUUGCUUUUUCAUACUUUAUAAUAUAGUUGCUAUUUUUAAAAAAAUUCAAAUAUUUUUACUGAAAUAAUAUAUUAGCUAAAAUUUCUACUGAUACUACACAACUUUUUAUUAUUAUUAUUUUUAAUACUUAUUUACUAUUAAAAUUAUUAAUCUUUUAAAUAAAAGAAGGAAAAAGAAAACCCCAUCAAAACUCAAAAGUUACUUUGUCCAAAUUCUAGUGUAAUAAUGAAUAUGUUGGGAAUUUUUAUAGCUGAGCGGUAUCCACCACUUGUUCCUUUAAAAUGAUGGCUGUCCAUGUGGUGGGAAGAGCACCAUCGUUCAACACUUUAGCCCCCAGUCUAGCUUAAUGGGCUACUUCACUUUCUGGACUCUUAGCCUUGUCUCCUCCUCUGUUUAAGUUCUCACUGGUGGACUCCGGUCUCUUUUUUAGGCUUCAUGUUGGCAUCGCACAUGCUGCUCGGUCCCGGCAUUCUUUCUCUCCCUCUGAAGGGUUUUUGUAGGAUUGGGUUUUCGGACUUAAUUAUUGUAUUUUUCUGAGCUUUGGGCCCAGACUUAUUUUUAGUGAAAUCUUUCAUUCAC
rnacentral:lncRNA from 1 species